rnacentral:lncRNA from 1 species
ACUGUGUGAUUUUUGUUCUUUAGUAGAAGGAUAACAUGACAUAGCAGGAAUAAUACUGCCUUUUCUUUCUGGCAUGGAUCAAGAGAAAAGAAAAUACAAGAAAACAGACAGAAGAUCCUAUCUGCGACAAUUAAGAGCACUCUAAGAGGAAAACACAUCCCACCACAGCAAGGUACUUCUAUGGAAGGGUGAGCCCUCACAGAUGGAGCAAUGGGGCGCGCACACCUGAACAAGGGAGGGGAAGGAGUUCUUAUCCCUGAUGCAUGUGACCCCUGCUGCUGUGUCCUUCCCCUAUUGGCUAAGGCUUCUGACAGCUUUGGAGAUUGUGACAUUGGAAUAAAGGAAAAACGUACAGGACUCAUGAAGCGCUGAAAUGUUCACAAAUAUCAAGCAAAAGUCAAUGAAAUUUAUUUUGAGCUAUUUACAUCAUUUAAUAAUUGAGCAAGGUAUACUCCUAUGAACAAAAUUUGGAGCAUGUUUGUCUCUCUCUGCCUGGCGUCUUCAGAAUUUGGAAACUAGUUAGUCAUGGAAAUUUAUUUUGAGCUAUUUACAGCAUUUAAUAAUUGAGCAAGGUAUACUCCUAUGAACAAAAUUUGGAGCAUGUUUGUCUCUCUCUGUCUGCCUGGCAUCUACAGAAUUUGGAAACUAGUUUCGUUCCCAGAUUUCCUAAACUUUCCAGAGAAAAUGGUCUUCUCCCUGGCUCAGCAAGAAGAUGAACUUUAAACACUGAGAAACUGGUCAUCUCCCUGGCUCAACCAGAAGAUGAACUUUAAACACUACUCUCAAUGACUUGAUGUUCCCAUCACUACUCCUGUCAUAAAGGGAGGGGACUCAGAUAUUGAGAAUUUUAUGAUAGUGUGAACUGUCUGGUAUGUCAUUUAAGUAAGCCCGUUGCUGAAAUAUUUUCCAUGUUAUUAGAAAGAGCUGAAGAGAGGGAUUGAGAUGGCUUCUUUAUUUUUUGUCUUUUGGGAAUUAAAGGAACCUGGUUCAACAAGGGCCUACACCUAAGUCUCUUGUUGUACCAGAGUACAAUUUAGGACUGCUCCUGAGGAAGGAAUUAGCUAGAAAUCUAGAGAGUAAGGGUAACAGAUUUACAUAGAAUAACAGCCUCAGUAUUUUUGGUUCCUCUCCAGUAAAGAUCACAAAGAAUAUUGCUAAAUCGCUAAAACACCUUUGCAAUAACGUAAGGGCUUACAACUAUAUACCAAUGUAGCUCAGUUACUAAACUGGAGUAAACUAAUUUCUCUUGUGUAGAAAAAUUGGUUGGCUGUGGUUUUAUAGCAGAUCUGCAAUUAUUAAUAGUUAUGCCAAUAAUCGUUUAACAGUGCAUAUGUUAAUAUAUAUGGAAAGACAAUGUGUAUAGACAGAUGUGUAAAAUUGAAAAAUAAACAUAUAACAAGAGAGAAACAUCUAUCGAACAGACAAUAUACAUACACAUCAAACACAACAGCAGUUUUAGUGACCAUAAUAUUUAUUUCUCAUUUUUACAUUGCUUACUUUAGUGACAACUGAAAAUGACAGUUGGCAAUGCAGCUAACAGUUUCAAUAAAAGUAUAAAACAAAAGACUGUGUACAAAGCACCUGUCUUUCCGCUUUUGUAAUCUUCCGUUGGAAAAAAUUUACACACCUAAGUAACCAUCUGUUUUCUUCAAGAAAAAAUCAUUCUUAUUUCUCUCUCUCAUCUUGAAAACAGCUGUCAGCCAGGAGGGCAGAGCUGAAAUUUAUUGCCACAUCACAUGAAGCAUAGAACAGACUCCACUACUCCUUGAGAUUCAAAACUUUGCCUCUCACAAAGUUACCUUUUAUUUUCCUCUUGUUUGUCACUCAUCUCCCCUAGUGUGCUCUUUUUAUUUCUUUUACUAUUAAUAAUAAAAUCUGUGGAUGACUGU